rnacentral:rRNA from 1 species
AUUGAACGCUGGCGGCAUGCUUUACACAUGCAAGUCGAACGGUAACAGGUUAAGCUGACGAGUGGCGAACGGGUGAGUAAUGCAUCGGAACGUGCCCGGUCGUGGGGGAUAACGCAGCGAAAGCUGCGCUGAUACCGCAUACGAUCUGAGGAUGAAAGCGGGGGACCGUAAGGCCUCGCGCGAUCGGAGCGGCCGAUGUCAGAUUAGGUAGUUGGUGGGGUAAAGGCUCACCAAGCCAAGGAUCUGUAGCUGGUCUGAGAGGACGACCGGCCACACUGGGACUGAGACACGGCCCAGACUCCUACGGGAGGCAGCAGUGGGGAAUUUUGGACAAUGGGCGAAAGCCUGAUCCAGCAAUGCCGCGUGCAGGAAGAAGGCCUUCGGGUUGUAAACUGCUUUUGUACGGAGCGAAAAGGUCUCCUCUAAUACAGGGGGCUCAUGACGGUACCGUAAGAAUAAGCACCGGCUAACUACGUGCCAGCCGCCGCCGUAA